rnacentral:misc_RNA from 1 species
CCAAUAGCGUAUAUUAAAGUUGUUGCAGUUAAAAAGCUCGUAGUUGAAUUUCGGAAUCAAUAUAUCGGUCGUGCCUCUGGUACGCACUUAUUUAUUGAUUUCUCACUUCUGACGAAUCAUAAUGUCAUUAGUUUGGUGUUAUGAGGAAUCAGGACUGUUACUUUGAAAAAAUUAGAGUGUUUAAAGCAGGCUCGCGCUUGAAUACAUUAGCAUGGAAGAAUGAAAUAGGAUGUUUGAGCUUAUUUUGUUGGUUUCUAGGAUCGACAUAAUGAUUAAUAGGGAUAGUUGGGGGCAUUAGUAUUCAAUUGUCAGAGGUGAAAUUCUUGGAUUUAUUGAAGACUAACUACUGCGAAAGCAUUUGCCAAGGAUGUUUUCAUUAAUCAAGAACGAAAGUUAGAGGAUCGAAGACGAUCAGAUACCGUCGUAGUCUUAACCAUAAACUAUGCCGACUAGGGAUCGGAUGAUGUUAUUUUUUAAUGACUCAUUCGGCACCUUACA